AGACACAUAGAUGAUGCAUGUGGGUGUCUAUAAAACAGGAAGAGAUAGUGAGAAAAGGUUAUGUGAGAGGAAGUGCACAUGUAAUAUUAAGAGGUUUCUAACAACACAACAUACACAGGUAUCCUGAACUUUUUAAUGUCUUGCCCCCAUCUAGUGAUCCCGCCUUCUCGCACGCCACGAUUGGUCGAUUAUCUACAAUGCCUGCACGCCAUUGGUCGAACUACUUUUCAGUCAUUACUUUCAGCAAGUAUGAAGACAAUAGGAAAACAAAGACAAAAUCUGGGCACUUUGGGCAAUUUAGAAAUAUCCUGGAAAAGACGAUAUAUGAUCAGUUGUUUAUUUUUUUUAAGGCAAGUGUUCACAGUUACUUUAUUUUAGACAUAAACUUUUCAUUUGUUACUGCCUAUUCUCAUUGAAUGAAACAACUAACUUAAUACAAAAGUUAACUUAUCUAACCAUCCUACAACCAAACCACAAGUUCCACAAAACAUUCUUUUAAAUGUCCAGCUGAACUUUAAACAUGGGGUUGCCUUUACACAAAAACACAUUUAAUAGCACUUAAUUUCAACAUUUACUCUCCCAAAUGAGUCCUAUGGAAAGCAUGCUGGGAAUUAAAACUUGCCAUGCCGUUUCAUUUAUAGAAACAAAAAAGAUUUAAACUUCAUUUUCAAAUAUAUGAGUGAACUGAACACAAUUAAAUUAAGUUGUAGUAAUAAAAUGUUAUUUUAUUAAUUAUGUUACAAGUAACAUAUGGCAAUUAUGUUACUUGUCUUACAAAAUUGAACAAGCAGAUAAAAGAACCUUAUUUAAACCUUAGAUGCACAAUGUUUCCUGUUAAAUAAAUACAAUCAUUGUAUUCUCAGUCCAAACCUUGUAUUUGCAAACAUUAAUAUUUGCAUUAAAAUGAUGAGGCAUGUUUGAUGUAACAUAUAAGCAGCUUCUUCCUCAUCGAAUGUCACCGAGUUUGAUUGUCUUUUGCAUAUUACACACUUUAAAACUAUUGAGAAAGGGUGUGAUUAACACGAACCGCAGUGUCACACCCCACAGACAUACUCUUCAUAUUUUCUGUCAGACAUAGCCUACUUUAUACCUCUCGCAAUAAAGCACAAACCUAACAAGCCGCAUGCUUCUGCAGCAACACCCCUGUUCGUUUAGAACAACCAAAAAUAUGUUUUCUGGCUCAGAGGGUUUCAUCUUUUGAGGUUCAGAGCUGUAUUAUUAUAUAAUGUAUUAUCACCAAGCCUUCACCAUGUAACUUUGAGUUCAGCCUG
rnacentral:lncRNA from 1 species